UACGUAGGGUGCGAGCGUUGUCCGGAAUUAUUGGGCGUAAAGGGCUCGUAGGCGGUCUGUCGCGUCGGGAGUGAAAACUCAGGGCUUAACCCUGAGCCUGCUUCCGAUACGGGCAGACUAGAGGUAUGCAGGGGAGAACGGAAUUCCUGGUGUAGCGGUGAAAUGCGCAGAUAUCAGGAGGAACACCGGUGGCGAAGGCGGUUCUCUGGGCAUGUCCUGACGCUGAGGAGCGAAAGUGUGGGAAGCAAACAGG
rnacentral:rRNA from 1 species